ACUUGAGUAGUUUAAUGAAAAUAUUGAUUUGUGGUGUCGAAGAUGUAAUAAUUACCUUAGGUU
rnacentral:tRNA from 1 species